UCAGACCCCUGUCUUUACUUUUGUCUGACC
rnacentral:piRNA from 1 species